rnacentral:lncRNA from 1 species
GUAACUUGUCUUCAUCCCCCAAGAAAUCUCCCAAUACCUUACGAGCUCCAUCAAGCAUCCCUAUUCCACCAUGUCCACCUCCAUUUAUGCCAGGAAAUAGUAGCUCCACCAAAGGCCCACCUCCUCCACCAUGCCCACCUCCAUUUUUGCUAGGAAAUAGUAGCUCUGCCAAAGGCUCACCUCCUCUACCAUGCCCACCUCCAUUUCUACAAGCAACUAAUAGUUCUGCCAAAGGACCACCUCCUCCACCACCUCCAUUUAUAAAAGGAAAUAGUAGCUCUACCACAGGUCCACCUCCUCCG